rnacentral:lncRNA from 1 species
AGAGGCCCAGGAAAGAGAGAGAAGACCAACCAAGGGGUGGCUGGAGUCCCAAGGCCAUGAACUUUCAGGAAAAUGUGACCCUGGCCAUGGCCUUGUUCACCAUCCUGACCUCCAUCUAUUUCUUCAACAAGGCUCAGCAGUGAGAAGACACAGGACCUCCCCGCACAAGAGCCCUGCCUCUCCCUCUGCCAUCGCUCUGAGGCCAGAUAAAUCCCUCCAGUGGCCCUGUGCCCCCACCCAAGAUAAGAAUCCCAGGCCCUCCACUGAGCAUUGGAGGCUGCAUGUAACCUGACCCCCUCCAGGCUUAAAAAAAAAAAAAAAAUCUCACCCACCUCCCAUGCCCACCCUGGUGUAUUCUUGGCCACGGCGAACUCGAAGAUAGUCCCAAAUGCAGCACCACGCGUUUGCACUGCUGGGUCCCAGCCUGGAAUGCCCUUUCCCAUGUCUUUGUUUGUUUGAGACGGAGUUUCGCUCUUUCGCCCAGGCUGGAGUGCAGUGGCGCAAUCUCGGCUCACUGCAACCUCCGUCUCCCAGGUUCAAGCGAUUCUCCUGCCUCAGCCUCCCGAGUAGCUGGGAUUACAGGUGCCCACCACCAUGCCCAGCUGAUUUUUGUAUUUUUGGUAAAGACAGGGUUUCACCAUGUUGACCAGGCUGGUCUCGAACUCCUGACCUCAGGUGAUCCGCCCGCCUUGGCCUCCCAAAGUGCUGGGAUUAUAGGCAGGAGCCACUGCGCCCAGCCUCCCAUGUCUGUUUUGUGUCACUUCCCUACCUCUCCCCUGAGGCUUCCUUGAACGCUAAGCAAAGUCAGACUCUCCUGUCUGCUGCCCCAACUUUGCCUCCCCUUAUUCCCGGCUGUGACAGGGAGCUUCAGGGUGGGGUCGCUCUGAACAGCAUCUGACCCCUGCUGAACCCACAGUUGGGGCUUGGCUGUCAACGUUUGGGAAACACUUUUUUUCAUUGUCGUUAGCUACCAUUUAUUAAGCACCUCUUGUUUGCUAAGCCACCAUGCAAGUUACCGUGCAGUGUGUUUUAUGAGGUCAUCUCUACACCCAGUCCUGUGUUGAGCGCAGGAUGGGGGUGGGGGGUGCCAUGGAGGGAGCAAAAAAAAAAGACACCAUUCCCACCCUUAAGGAGUUGACAGUACAUGGAAGAAGAUAACAUCAAACCUUACAUUUGUGCAACAGUUCACAG